CAUCUUGUUCACUCACUGAGUAUUGUACUCACGUUUUAUAAAAAAUUCAUGUUUUCAAAUCAAGUAACUGUUGGACCCUAGAUCGAGGAGUCCCCAUAGUGCAUCUUUUGGGUAUGUGUCUGGCAUUCGAUAGUAAUCUCUUUUAUUGUAAAUGUCUCCGUUGGAAGUCAUGGGUCCUUUGUAUUGUGAAUACAAUCUAACAAUGUGAAUAUGUGUAUACAAUGUAAAUUGCUAAAUACAUGACUGGUAUAGUGCAUGUAUAUUAUUAUCGAUAAUGCCAUUAUGUUUUGGCUAUGUUCACACCCGAAAAAAGGUGUGUGUGUAUGCAUGAUAUGAUAAAUUUGUUAAGCAAAGGUAAAUGGAUAGGCUUGCUUGGGCUUAGUGAGCUAUGCUCAUUGAGCUCAUGC
rnacentral:lncRNA from 1 species